rnacentral:lncRNA from 1 species
UUUGUUACGGAGAGUAGUGGCGUCAGGGGUCGUUUAGGGCCACGUGGAGUUUAUUACGGAGAGUAGAGUGGUGUCUGUUGUCACGACUUGCCAGAGAGUAGUGGAGCCCAGAGAGUGGAGCAGUGUCCGUUGUCGCAACUUGCCAGAGAGUUUGGAUCUGUCGGUUGGAGCUCGGUUGGGAUGUCUGAUGGAGAGGAAUGGCUCUCUAUACUGCUGAUCUAGGAGAAGCUCGGAUGUUUCCAAGGCUGCUGACGAGUCUACUAUUGUCGGAUGCCUUAGGUGCUGAUGCUACAAGCGGAAGUCAUCUGCUGUGGAAGCUCGGAUGGAGACUUUCUGUUGGUGAAGUCUGGUAGGGGUCCGGUUGCUAGGGAAGUCCGUCUGAGAUUUGCCUGAUGUUGAAACUCGUUUGAAGAUUAUCUGCCAGAGAAGUCCGAUUUCAUGAGGAAUCUGGCAGAGGGUCGGCCAAUGGUGGACCUCGGUUGGCGUUGGGGAGGUUCGGUAGAUACCGGAGGUGAUUGGCC